rnacentral:lncRNA from 1 species
AAGUUUACCUAUUAUUUAAAAACAAAAAAAAAAAACAAAAGUUUUACAUAUUAAAAAACAAUAACCGGAGCGAAUAAAAUUACACUAAUAUGCAACAAUUAAAAGAAUAUUACAAGAGUAGCCUUCGUUAUUGUUGGAAUGCUCCAUAGUCCAUUCCAUUACCAAGAAAAUGCUAAAAGCUCAACUUGAUGUAAACAAGAGUACAAGACAUGUCCAAGUCAAAGUUUUCUCCUAACUUGUAAGUGAUACGAAGAUGGGUGUAAACAAAACAAAGACAAAGUCUUUGUCGAAACUCCAACUCUAGUAGGAGGAAAGAGAUGAUGAUGACAAAAAGGCUCGACGAAAAUGGAAUUUGAUGAGUAAAAACUGGUUAAGCUGGAGUGAAGGAAUGAGUUGUGUUGACUGAAUUAGAUUGAAUGGGGUUCUAGGGUUUGAACUUUGAAUGUUGAAUGCUUCAAUCUCGAUGAUUAGUAGUAAUUCACAAAGUUGUGAUGAAAUAAUAGAAACGAGUUACAGAAAGAACGUGCAAAAAAUGACGAUAAUGAUAUGAUUUUCAGCUCGUUUACUGACUCCCACGCUUGGUUUUUCUAUUUUCGGG